GUCUUAAAAAAAAGGGUAAAGUCUUUAAAGAGACAGAGUACAGAUAGUUAUAGAUUAAGAGAAAUAAAGAAAAAUAAGCCACAUAAAAAUGGAAAAUUCACAGAGAGUCUGGAUUAUGUACAUUGUAAUUUCUUUAAAAUUUUUGACUGUGAAGGAGCUAAGUACAGAGAGACAUUUCAUUAUAUGGGCUGCUAAGCUGAACCUGCACAUAUGUUCUAAAGGUAUCUUGACUUCAGAAUUUGGAUCUAAGGUUAUGAUGCUUUGGAAAAGUCCUUCUUUUGUUUUCACAGAGGAUGUGACCCUGUGGAUUGCAUCUAUUCCGAUUUGGUAUGAUAGACCACGCCCUCCUGAAAGGUUGCUGUGAACACCCUCAAAAAAUUGCUUCGCUCAAUUGCCAACUGAGAUGAAACUAGCACACAGGUUAUAUCAUGAACGACCUAAUUAACGACGCCCCUAUUCAGCAGGAAGCAGUUUGGAGAGAAAAAACUACGCCCAUGUUCCCAAAUAUUGUUUAUAAAUGUUCUUUUACAUUUAAAGGGGGAUAUGAUAUAGAUAUGAAUAAUUUGCAUUGGUAUGGAUUUUAUGGUCAAUUUUGUUAUAUGUAUAUGUAUUUUUGAUCUUGAUUAAGGUAUUGUGAUUGUGUAGUUCAUUUAAAAAUGUAAUGUAUAAUUAGGAAAUAUAGGUUGUUAAUGGAUAAUCAUCGCUAAUAGUUAAGCUUGUAGUCAUGUUAGUUAGAUUUUCUAGAUAUAUAGAGAUAUAUUUCAGUUAGAUAGGCAUUCUUCAUAUCUUUCAAAGACUGCAGAAUAUGGCAUUUAAAAUAUUUUAAUAACUUAGGACUUUUCAUGACAAGGAGACACGUCUGCUCCUGGCAGCACCAGCUACUUCAAGAGGAAGAUGGGCAUCGAAGAGGAUCCUUAUGGAGUUGGAUAGUCAUUUGGGCAAGAAACUGCUCUUGCCUGGACUGUUGCAUAAACUGGACACAGAGAACCCUCAGAGAGAGGACUGCUGAACUUGCCUAAAGGUGAGAUGGUCUUUCGGGGUUCCUGAUUCAUGAAAGAGUCUGCGAGACAUUCUGCAGGACACAGCAGAAAAUGACUGAACUGUCUUUGAAAUUUCCUGCUUCAUGGAAAUGUAUCUGGAUACCAUGGGCCUGUAGGCCGAAGAUGGAUGCCCCAACGGUACAGAGGAACUUUGGGUGACUGUCCAGGCAGCGAGAUGUCUCUGUCAUUUCUAGAGUUUUCUUAUUUCUUGUUUACUUAGGUAAUAUUAUAUCCUUCUGGAGUCUUUGAUGGAGUUGAAGAAUGAAUAGUUAUAGUUUUCCUUAGUUAUGGUAAGAGAUAAAAUAGAUAUAAAUAUUGUAACUGUAAUUCUUACUUGAUAACUGUUUUGUUAUAUGUAAUUUUACUAUGUUAAAGUUAAAGCCUUUCUUUUUUUGUUUAAACAGAAAAAGGGGAAAUGAUGGAGGUGGGUCUUGUAUCUUAUCUGUUGCUUUCAUUGGUUAAUAAUAAAGAAACUGCCUCGGCCCUCAUAGGACAGAAAAUUAGGUAGGUGGAGUAAACAGAAGAGAAUGCUGGGAAAAAGAAGCUGAGUAGAGGAGUCGCCAUGAUUCUCCCGCUCCAGACAGACGCAGGUUAAGAUCCUCCCUGGGUUUUUCAUGACAAUGAGACACGUCUGCUCCUGGCAGCACCAAUCUACUUCAAGAGGAAGAUGGGCAUCGAAGAGGAUCCUUAUGGAGUUUGAUAGCCAUUUGGGCAAGAAACUGCUCUUGCCUGGACUGUUGCAUAAACUGGACACAGAGAACCCGCAGAGAGAGGACUGCUGAACUUGCCUAAAGGUGAGAUGGUCUUUCGGGGUUCCUGAUUCAUGAAAGAGUCUGCGAGACAUUCUGCAGGACACAGCAGAAAAUGACUGAACUGUCUUUGAAAUUUCCUGCUUCAUGGAAAUGUCUCUGGAUACCAUGGGCCUGUAGGCCGAAGAUGGAUGCCCCAACGGUACAGAGGAACUUUGGGUGACUGUCCAGGCAGCGAGAUGUCUCUGUCAUUUCUAGAGUUUUCUUAUUUCUUGUUUAAUUAGGUAGUAUUAUAUCCUUCUGGAGUCUUUGAUGGAGUUGAAGAAUGAAUAGAUAGUUAUAGUUUUCCUUAGUUAUGAUAAGAGAUAAAAUAGAUAUAAAUAUUGUAACUGUAAUUCUUACUUGAUAACUGUUUUGUUAUAUGUAAUUUUACUAUGUUAAAGUUAAAGCCUUUCUUUUUUGUUUAAACAGAAAAAGGGGAAAUGAUGUGGGAGUGAUUUCUUAUUAAUAAAGAAACUGCCUUGGCCCAUUUUAUUGGAUAGAAAAUUAGGUAGGCGGAGUAUACAGAAGAGAAUUCUGGGAGAAAGAAGGUUAGAGGAAGAGUCGCCAUGAUGCUCCCACUCCAGACAGACGCAGGUUAAGAUCCUCUCUGGUCUCCAGAGCAAAAUUAAGCGGAAACAACAACAAUGGGAAUUCUUAACACAGUUAUGGACUUUAAAACAACAGAUUCUUACUCAUCUUAUUAAGGAGCUUUAAGGGAGCAGUCAGAGGACAUGAGGGAAUCAGUGUCAGUUGUCUCCUGCGCCGUGAUUCAUGUCAGCAGGCUUGGCUGCAGGAGCCUUCACCUGCCGAGCCAUCUCACCAGCCCCAGAUUAACUGUUUAGAGUACAGUGGGCUAAACAACAGCUCCCAAAGACAGCUGUGUUGUAGUUUAGCAGUUGCGAGAAUAAAUUACUAUAUACAACAAACCCACGUGGAAAUUUAUUGCUAGGAGGGGUGAAAGAGGAGGUCGGGACAGGACGUGUAUGGCGUGGCUGCAUAAUGCUCAGUACGCAUGCGUAAAAGCCCCUUUUUAAAGUACGCUCCACCCGUUCUUGUUCUCUCUUCAUCGAUUCCCUUUCCAGCCCCCAUCAAUAAACUUCCACGUGGGUUUGUUGUAUAUCAUGAUCCGUUCUCUCUGCCGAUAAACUACAACAAACUGUGUCCUCAUCUCAAAAGCCUGUGCAUAUGCCUUAAGUGGCAAAGUGACUUUCAGGUGUGAUUAAGAUUUCCAAGCAUGGAGAAUAUUAUGAAUUAUCUAGUUGAGUCAAUGAAAUUGCAUGCUUCCUUAUGGAAGGGAGACAAGGUCAUAGCCAAAGAGAAGACAGCAAGAAGAUGCUACUGAACCAGUUUUGAAGACAAAGGACGGGGCCCUGUCCAAGGACAAGGGGCAGCUUCCUGAGCUAGGAGCAGCAAAUUCUCCCGUGAAGCUUCCCGCACUCUGAGAGUACUUUAAUCUACGCAUGAUGAUUCUGCGUUUAGAUUUCUAACCUUCAGAAGACUUUUGCUCUUUCGAGCCAGUACACGUGUGACCAUUUCUUGAUAGUAGCAGAGCCAGACACAGGGGUCCUGUAUUGCAUCUAACCUCCUCAGACUCUGAGGUGAUUCUGUCAAAUUACAGAAAGCUGGUCAGCAAGUCAUGCCCAGAUCGAGAUGCCUCUUGCAUACCUAAGACCUCACAUUUUUCAUUCAGUUGGGAUUUAGUUUGAAAAUAGCAUAUUUAGACUCUUCAAAUGCAUGCUCAUAAAUGAGAACAGCCUUCAGUUUUCCUUUCUUACAGUAACUGUCUUAUAUCUGAGAUCCUGGACUUGUAAAAGGAGCUGAGAAGUGCAACUUCUUUUAUUGUUACAUAGGCAUGUUUUAUAAAUAGGAUUAUAUUUCCUUAAAGGCUCUACAAAGUCUAUCUGUGAGGAUAGGAGACAGGGACCUUCUCAAACACGCUCGUGUUUGAAAGCAGAUUUUUCGCAUCUUGUACAUGUUCUGAACUCAUGCUGGGGAAUUCCAUUUCCUGGUGUCAUUUGUUCAAACUUUCUCCAACUCACUACACUAAAAGAAAUCUGUGAUAUCCACCUCUUUGAUAUCUUAUCUGGCAUGCAGUUAUCCCUACUCUUCACUUUCUACUAUAUUCAUUGGUGACAUCUCUGUCUUUUAUCUGUUCUAAUCUUGGGAGUACUUAGCUUUUGGUUUAGUUCAUCUUCCUUUGAUUUAUAUUCCCUUCUUCAAUUUUCUUAAUUUUUUUGUAUUUUGAGGUUUCUCUAUUAUUUCUUUUUAUUUUAAUUGAAUAUUUGAUUUUAUUAUUCUCAAUCAUUUGAUUUCAAGCUUAUAUGUAACCACUACAUAUUUUUUUAAAAAAAAUGAAUAAAGUGAACUUUUUAAAAAUAAUUGUAGCCCCUCAAGCUCACGGAAAUGUUAUUAGUCUGCUCCUUCUGCCAUCUGUGUAACUUCUACAACUGAACUUUCAUUUCCCAUCAUCAAAAAAUGAGUCUUCUCAUCUCAGAAUUAAAAUAGCUGGUGCUGUGUAACAAUCAAAACAGAAAUUCACAGAAUCCUGGUCCAGGAAAGAAUUCUGCUAGCUCAGUUAUGUCUUUACACACACACACACACACACACACACACACACACACACACACACACACACGGCUUCUCUGCCCCUAACUCACUUAAUAGCCGUGACUGGUUAAGCACCGAAAGGCCUCUUUGAUUCAUUACACUUGAAGGGGGCUCCUGCACAGUCGAGGCGCCCUCCAGACCCCUGAUUAGGCACAAACCACACCAACCACCUGUGUUCACAGAGAUCCUUUACUGAGCAGGGAAGAAAAGUUAAAGUGGCAGAAUUGUGCUGCUAUGAAAAACGCUCUGAAAUGGUGACUCUAAUCAGGUAAGUUUAUUCUCCCUCAGAAAGAUGAGGAAGCCGUCUGGGCCAGUGAGACACUUCAGUUCCGCGAGGUCAUUCAAAGACACAGCUCCAGUCUUUUUGCUCCAUUACCUCGGGAUUUUUGUCCUGUCCUGUCUGUAAGCGCCAGUCUGGGUCGCCGGCAUGAUUGCAACCCAGUUAACGCGAAGGAGGAGCCGGAAGUGGAGCCCAUCCAAGUUUCCGCUCUGGCAGGGGUGGC